CGUCUGAGUCUUGGUUUAUUUAUACAGUCUAUGGUCAGAGUGCUAGCUUGUGGAGGUUGUCAUAAGAGUGCUUCCACCGUAUUUAGUUGCUAGCCCUUUCCCUAGGUUGGAUUGUUUGGUAUCUAGCUUGGUUUUUGACUCACUUUUUUAAUGAA